AAGCGUUUAUGACCAGACUUGGGCUUGGUUAAUCAUCUGGGGUUCUCCCCAGUGCACUCUGCCAGUCCAGGCCAGCAUCAGUUUGACCCGGGGGAUAAAGGCGGUGGGAAUGUGGCUCCCUCGGGAGUGUUAUAGCCCGCCGUGUAAUGCCCUGGGUUGGACUGAGGAACGCGCUUCGGCACGGAUGCUGGCGUAAUGGCCAUCAA
rnacentral:rRNA from 1 species